rnacentral:tRNA from 1 species
UCCCUGGUGGUCCAGUGGCUAAGAUACACAUUUCCAAUGCAGGGGUCUAGAUUCGAUCUCUGGCCAGGGAA